rnacentral:rRNA from 1 species
UACAGAGGUCUCAAGCGUUGUUCGGAUUCAUUGGGCGUAAAGGGUGCGUAGGCGGUGCGGUAAGUCGGGUGUGAAAUCUCGGAGCUUAACUCCGAAACUGCAUUCGAUACUGCCGUGCUUGAGGACUGGAGAGGAGACUGGAAUUUACGGUGUAGCGGUGAAAUGCGUAGAUAUCAGGAGGAACACCGGUGGCGAAGGCGGAUCUCUGGGCCUUACCUGACGCUCAGGCACGAAAGCUAGGGGAGCGAACAGG